CCAGCAUAGUAGAUGGCGUUUGCGUUUGAUGUAACCAAUGUGUGGUUGACAGUGCAGACCAGUAAAAAUGAAAGUCUGGAAUAUCACCUGAAAGUUUGUUGCCUGAAAGGUUUCUAUUAAGACAAAUUUAUGUUAAAACACUAUUACACAAUAGUUAUUCUAUUACAUUUGUAUAGUAAACGUACAAAUCCUG